UGAUACUCUCUAUACAAAUCAUUCUCUGCCCAAUAAAAAGGUCGACACGCGAGAGGAGCUCCUUCUCAAUUUGUUUUCACCAUCACAUUAAACAGACACCCUCACCCAUCGGAAAACCGACCCACCACCAAGCUUCUUCCUCUUCAACAAAGACCAUCCCCGCUGAACUCAUCUGCUUGGUUUCGAGAACAAGCACACACACACACGAAACAGAGCCUGGAAACGGAAAGCAGAACUCGGUCUUUACCGAUUCAUUGUUUUGAUCUUUAGGAGACCAGAAAUUGAACAAAAAUAGGUCUCGAUGGUUUUUCUUUUUCAUUUCAAUUUCUGUCUCGUUUGAAGUUAGUGUCCGGGUCGUUUGAGUUUCAAAGCUUUCGUUUUCUUUUGAUUUCAAUGGAGACAACUUAAAUUCUGCCCGUGUCAGAGUUUGUCGAGUGUUCCUCGCUGGUCGAGGUCUGUUCGAGAUUGAUAGUUCCUGUUGCUCGGUUGUUUGUUUGUCGUGGAUUUUCGUCACCGGAUUUAUUUGUAUUUGACAGCGAGCAGAAUUAAUUGAAGAUCCCUGUCGCUGAACUUGUCAAAAUCUGUUGUGGUAUGAAAAGUUUUGUCAUGGAGUUCAUUUGAAUUUCAAAGUUUUGUUUCUUCUGACUUCUAUUGGAGUUGAUUCAAUUUUGUUCAUGGAUUUUGUUUGAGUUUUGUGGUUGCUUCAUGGUUUGGUGUUGUUCAAGUUAGUUCCAUGGUUCGCAAUGGAUUUUGUUUGAGUUUUGUGGUUGCUUCGAGGUUUGGUGUUGUUCAAGUUAGUUCCAUGGUUCGCAAUCCAAGUUCUUGUUACUAUCUCGGUUUUCCGAUCAAACAUAAUUGUCCGUUGGAGUUCAAAGAGGCAGUCUAGUUCGCCAUCCCUUGAUCCUGAUCGAAGUGUCGUCCAUUGUUUCCGGUCAAGCUCGAGUUGCCGAAUCUCUGUGGCUGUUUGAAUCUCAACGUUCAUCUGCUUGAAUACCUAAUCUAAACAGAGUCCUAAUAUCGAAAGCUUAUCAAGGCACUACUAUAUAUUCGAGGUCGUUUCGUCAAGGUCUGGUUUGUCGAGUUUCCGUUCGCUUGUGUUGUUGCCUAUUUUCUGUCGCGAUCCGAUAUCCAUUUCUGUUGGGUUUGUCAGUGAGUUAAAUUCAAAGGAAAAUUGAUCCAUUCGAGGUCCAUCUCUUACCCUACUUUAAUUUUUCUUAUGUGAUGCUUAUUUCUGGAUUUACUUAUGCUGAUUUAGUUAGUUGAUCGAAUUGUCAUGGCUGAACAUAAUACUCUUGAUAUGCUGUGUUGAUCGAUGAAUAUUGGUUGAUUUGAGUUGAAGUUAUGUUGAAAUUUUAAUUGUAAACAACUUAUGAAUUCUGGUCUGGUGGAUUUUUGUUGAUAUUUAAUUCAAAUGGAAGCAGUUAAUGAGCCAUUGAAGUAAGUGUGAAUAAAUGGAAUGGGAUCGGAUUUUGGUGGCAGCAGAGAUGUGGUAACUUUGUAGUUAAGUGUUUAAGUAAUUUCUUAAUUGUUUCAAUUGUGAAAAAAUGCAAUUAGGUUGAAGAAUUUUCUACAUUUCCUGGUGCUGGAACUACCUAUAUAAAGUAGUGGUUUGAAUUUAUUUUUCUUUCUUUCCCUAUUUUGUUUUUCUUGAAAUCAGUUGGUUACAUAAGACAGUUGCACGUAUGUGAAAUGAUGGAAUUUGAACGUAGAUGGUGUAUUUUCACUUCUGAACUUAUUUUGGAAGCUUCUGCUUACUUGUCACUAGUUUUAGAUUAAAAAUACAAAUGAACUUUUGUCUGAGUAGUUCAUGACCCUCUAAAUAAAACUUGAAUUCCUUUUCUUUAGAUUAGAAUCGAGGUGUGCCAUGCCAAGCAAAAAAAAAAACAACAAUUGCAUAGCUCUCGUUUUAAUUCAGUAUUGAUCCUUAGAAUCUGAGGCGUGCCGUUUAGCUAAAUUUUACGGCCCUCGCAAAUUGCAAACGCGUAGUUGCUUUAGGCGCGUAUCUAAUAAUUUACAUUCCUAAAUACGGGUGAGCAUUUUAUGCGGCCCAAAUCUAAAUCCUAAAACGUUGAAUAGAGUGUGCCUGGGAUUGUGGGUUCAUUUGAUGCGGCGCAAUCCAAAAGCAUACUUUAAACGAUGUUCACUUUCUCUUAAAUAAAUACAAAUUAAAUAAAAGCGGUUAAAGAUAAAAUUGGCACAUAGGCAUUUCAUGUAUUAAAAUCAGAUUUUAGCCAUUCAUAACAAUUUAAGCGAUCGUGCUAGAACCACGGGAUCCGAGGGUGUCUAACACCUUCCCUCGCGUAAACAGAAUUCCUUAUUUAGAAUUUCUGGUUCGCAGACUCCAAUUGGGAAGUCGAACAUUUUCCCCGGAUUGGGAUUCAAGCUGAACUGGUGACUUGGGACACCAAAACCCGAACCUUUCCCAAGUGGCGACUCUGAAUAAAUAAAUAAUCCCGAUCCGAAUAAUGUCACUUUAAAUGGAAAAACUCCCUAUGUGUGUAAAAAGGAGGUGUGACAGCUCUGACGACUCUGCUGGGGAAAGAACCUAGAACUUUUUGUUCAGGAUUCAGAAUUCGAGCUUAGAAUAAUUGUUGUGUUUAGAUUUAUCUGAUUCCGUUACAUGAUAUUUGCUUAAUGUACUAAUUGAUUGCUUUUACCUAAAAACUCCCUUAUACAUUAUCCUUCGGGUAGGUGUGUAAAAAGGAGGUCUGACACAACAUAUAGUCAAAUUUUGAUUUGAAGAAUCGACUAUUUGGUUAUAAAAAUAAUAAUGCAGUAAUUUAUGUGUUCUUGAACCAACUGAUCCUCCUCCUGCUUCUUCGUACCCGAAAGAGCAUAACCUCAUAGAUUUUGGCAGAAGUUAGGUUUUGGUAGUUCAAAAUUCCGAAGAUAUAAACAGAAAAAUGAAGAAAAUCAAAUAAAACAUGUAUAUUUUACCAUCGCGUUCAUCAUACUGUUCAAAAUUCCGAAGAUAUAUACAGAAAAAUGAAGAAAAUCAAAUAAAACAUGUAUAUUUUACCAUCGCGUUCAUCAUACAUAGAUUGCCCGAAAUUUUAUGGUAUAUAAGUGUUGUUCAGCUAAUUACUACUGCCCUUUUAAUCCUAUAUAUAAUUACUAUUGCAUUAUAACAGGAUAAAAUGCAAGAUUGAAGUUGUCUGCUUUCUUACUCCUUUUCAGGCAUGGGAAGUGAUUUCGACAAAUUUGGUUGGAUUACAACAACAACAAAUCUAGCAGUUUCCCACAAGUGGGGUCUGGGGAGCUAAGAUGUACCAGCCUUACCCUUACUUUGGAAGGGCAGAAAGACUGUUUCUAAUAGACUCAAAUUUGGCCGGACUAAAGGUUGAAAAUCAUAUCAACCUAUUGAAGGAGCUUAUUGCAAGUGCUGACCCCAAUAGCAGCAGCAAGAUGCCAAGCAGCAUGUAGAAAUGGUGUUUCAGGUAAGAAAUCAUCAGCAAUGAAAAGAGCACCACCGAGCAAUGAUGACAUUUUAUGCACAUUGUGAGCCAUCCUCAGAUCUGGAUCUUUCAAUGCUCUUUUUGCGAAAGCAACCUAAACAAAGAUGCAUGAAUAGAAAAAUCAUAUACUGUGUGCCUUAGAUAAUAAGAGAUAUAUGACCAUCUAAGUCGGUGGCCAAGCUAGGAAAAAAUUCCCGACAAAGGGUGUUCAGUAUGUGUUAUAUAACUCUAAAACGUAAUAUUUACUUGUAUGCGCAGUAUAAUUUUGUGACAAAGGGUGGUUAACAGCAGGCUACACAUUGGAGAUGUAGAUACCACAAUAUAAUUUUACGACAAAGGGUCGUUAACAGCAGGCUACACCAUUGGAGAUGUAGAUACCGACCUCCAUCAUUCCAGUAUGUACAGCAGAAACCAUCAGAGGCUGGACCGGUAGUAGGAAAGCAUAUGCUGCCAUCAAAAACUUCGGAUUCUUAUUCAUAAGUGCUCUUGAUAGACACUGAAAGAAAAAAAACACAACCAUUCAUAUUGUGCAAGACAUAAAGUACGAUAGGAUCCACUUAUUUAUCAAAUUCUACCUUUAUUCCUCCAAUGAUUCUGUGUAAAAUUACAGAAACAUUACUUUAAAACUACGAGCCGUUUGUCACGACCCGUUUGUCGUGACCGUGAGAUCAAAAGAAAGAGCGGGCCAAUUGGAACUUCGUCGAUAGGAUAAGGGAACGGCAUUAGCGAUAAGGCGUUGUUCUCCCUUAGAUACUUCGAUCUGGCCGAGUCAGGCAGGCCGACCCGGUUAAGUUUGGGGUGCUUGUCGCUGGUCAUGGACUUGACAAUGAAGGGGACCGAGGUAGGCAAAAGGGACAACUGGUCGGGGGGCUAGUGCCGCUCCCCUGAUGAGCCCAAGGCAGGGCGAAACCGGUUGGCUACCGCAUGUGAUAAGGCUUGUCUGGGGUGGUAUGGGACGCCCCAGGCGCCGCAUGGGCGCUUGUGCUGCGCCGGACUCUCAGCCCGUGACAAGUGGUAUUAGAGCGGGACGUACUUGCUCGCUGUUGCGCGUUAUGGUGGGGUCCUCGGCGGAGGACUGUGCGGGUGCGUUUGCCUAGAUUGCCCCUCGGGAGGACUUGCACUGAAGACGGCCCCAUCCUGCAAGGUCUGCGGGGCAGGACCGGUGGAUGGCCAUCAGCAAGGCCGGUUGCACAAAGUGAGAUGCGACUGGGCCAAGACACGCGACGCGCAAAGCAGUAUUGUAUGGGAUCCUUGGGCAGAGUCCUUCUCCCCAACAGCACGAGGACGUGCUAGAUUUUGGGUGGGGGAGAAUGUCACGACCCGUUUGUCGUGACCGUGAGAUCAAAAGAAAGAGCGGGCCAAUUGGAACUUCGUCGAUGGGAUAAGGGAACGGCAUUAGCGAUAAGGCGUUGUUCUCCCUUAGAUACUUCGAUCUGGCCGAGUCAGGCAGGCCGACCCGGUUAAGUUUGGGGUGCUUGUCGCUGGUCAUGGACUUGACAAUGAAGGGGACCGAGGUAGGCAAAAGGGACAACUGGUCGGGGGGCUAGUGCCGCUCCCCUGAUGAGCCCAAGGCAGGGCGAAACCGGUUGGCUACCGCAUGUGAUAAGGCUUGUCUGGGGUGGUAUGGGACGCCCCAGGCGCCGCAUGGGCGCUUGUGCUGCGCCGGUCGGUUGGCUACAGCAUGUGGUAAGGCUUGUCUGGGGUGGUAUGGGACGCCCCAGGCGCCGCAUGGGCGCUGUGUGCUGCACCGGACUCUCAGCCCGUGACACGUUGCUAAGCAUGUAAAUAAGGCAAAGGUGACAUUGACAAACUCAUUUUCUAGCCGCUAAGUGGAAAUAAAAGAAAAAUCAAUCAACUAUGCGUCAGUCACAUACUGACUGGGUAGGCUAUAUGAAUCCUCUAUAUCCAUUCCGUUCUACACGGAUCCAUUUCAUUCCAAUACUAGCAAAUUAGGGAAAGGAGAAUGAAAGAGCAAAAAACUAGAAAGCAAGAAUGAAUUGCUUGAGACUCACUACUGUAGUUGUUGCUAUCAUGGUGUUGUCAGCCCAUCUCAGAUACUGUUUUACUUUCCCUCUUGAAGCAUGGUACAAACUUAAGGCAAUUCCCACUCCAAUCAAUGAAUUGGCGUAGAUUUUGCAGUUGAGAUUCUUCCUGCAUCAAUGGACGAAGAACCUUUAUACAGAUCAUGACAGCUACAAAUUUUAGAUAUUGAAGCAACCUAACGCUAUGACCUUGGAACAUGAAGUCCAAGAGCAAUAAAAGGAAGAGAAGUGAUCACAUUAGCAAUAGUUUCUGCAAGGUUCUUAUCACCUAAAAAAGAAGAGAAAUUUUAAAGAUUAGAAACAUGUAAGAGGACGAAUUAUAUAUAGCUAAUUUUAAGUAAAAAGUUGUUUACCAUGGAGAGUACAACGGAUGGGCCUCAGACAAGCUGGCCUUUGCUGCCAAACUCUCCUGGGGAACACGUUAACAUACAAAUCACAUACUAGAAAACUGGCAAAAAACGUCCAGAAAAACUGACCGAUCUAUUUUAAGUGUCCAAAUUGACAAGUGAAUAACCUUGUUACUAUAGAAAAUAGAUAAGCAUUUCUACAAUGACUAAAGGUGAAGACAUCUUCAACUUACUGAAGUAUUAGUUGUUGUCUUGAUCCGCCGGAUCCAUGGAAGUCCCCGUGUCUUAUCUCUUCCAAUGUGAAGGGUGAAUAAGGCACCAAAUGCACUCCGUGCACAUCUUCUAAGGCUUUACUGGGUGUGAACGAACUCAUUUUACAAUCAGUGAACUGAAUAUGAGAGACACAGAUACCACCUUCAAUGCAAGGCAAUAGAACAGUUGUUCCAUAUUUUCUUUGGACGAAUAAAUAUAUGAUAAAGGUCACAGGUUGAUACAAAUUCAGGCUAUCUCAAGAAAAGUUAUAUUGUUGCAUCCCAUGGCUAUAUUAUGAAUUCACGAGACGAAGGCCGGUGUUAAUGAGAGGUUAGAGGUAUGGAGACAGACUCUCGAGUCUAAGGAAAGGAGAAUGAAAGAGCAAAAAACUAGAAAGCAAGAAUGAAUUGCUUGAGACUCACUACUGUAGUUGUUGCUAUCAUGGUGUAGUCAGCCCAUCUUAGAUACUGUUUUACUUUCCCUCUUGAAGCAUGGUACAAACUUAAGGCAAUUCCCACUCCAAUCAAUGAAUUUGCGUAGAUUUUGCAGUUGAGAUUCUUCCUGCAUCAAUGGACGAAGAACCUUUAUACAGAUCAUGACAGCUACAAAUUUUAGAUAUUGAAGCAACCUAACGCUAUGACCUUGGAACAUGAAGUCCAAGAGCAAUAAAAGGAAGAGAACUGAUCACAUUAGCAAUAGUUUCUGCAAGGUUCUUAUCACCUAAAAAAGAAGAGAAAUUUUAAAGAUUAGAAACAUGUAAGAGGACGAAUUAUAUAUAGCUAAUUUUAAGUAAAAAGUUGUUUACCAUGGAGAGUACAACGGAUGGGCCUCAGACAAGCUGGCCUUUGCUGCCAAACUCUCCUGGGGAACACGUUAACAUACAAAUCACUACUAGAAAACUGGCAAAAACGUCCAGAAAAACUGACCGAUCUAUUGUAAGUGUCCAAAUUGACAAGUGAAUAACCUUGUUACUAUAGAAAAUAGAUGAGCAUUUCUACAAUGACUAAAGGUGAAGACAUCUUCAACUUACUGAAGUAUUAGUUGUUGUCUUGAUCCGCGAGAUCCAUGGAAGUCCCCGUGUCUUAUCUCUUCCAAUGUGAAGGGUGAAUAAGGCACCAAAUGCACUCCGUGCACAUCUUCUAAGGCUUUACUGGGCGUGAACGAACUCAUUUUGCAAUCAGUGAACUGAAUAUGACAGACACAGAUACCAGCUUCAAUGCAAGGCAAUAGAACAGUUGUUCCAUAUUUUCUUUGGACGAAUAAAUAUAUGAUAAAGGUCACAGGUUGAUACAAAUUCAGGCUAUCUCAAGAAAAGUUAUAUUGUUGCAUCCCAUGGCUAUAUUAUGAAUUCACUAUAUAAUUGCCCUUUAUUAUUGAAUUUAACGAAAUUCAAGGCCAUAAACAACAACUUGAACUCUAUUAAAUUGCAACAAAUAUCAUCUGCAGGUAUUCGCUUUCCUAUUAGUAUGUGAUAUAUAUAUAUAUAUGUUGCACUAUCAGCACAUUAAUUUUAUGAAUUCCGAGAUGCCAAAUCUAGCUAGCCAAGUAAUGUCACAUACUAAUUCAAUUUAAGGGAUAUAUUAUAAGGGAACUCAACCCAAAGUCAUGGUAGUAACUGAGAACCCAUAUUGUUUCUGGUCAAUUUAGCAACUAAAAUCUGCAAAUUUUUAUCCAUGCAACAUUAAAUAUUACUUCAUCAGUUGCAUAUUGAAAAUCUUUAGACUUUCUUCAGACAUAUAAAAUUAAGGAGGGAGAGAAAUAAAGAAGCAACGUAUAUAUAGUUACGUUGCCUAUGCUGAGUUCUACAAAAUGGAAGGCUGGGGAGCCUAAAAUCCAAACAAAAUCAGAAUCUAAAAGCUGCUGGGAAAAGAGAAAGAACCUGGAAAAAUCGAUAUUGCGACUAAACAAGCUGGAAUAAACAUUGCAAUGUGCAGCCUGUUUAAGGAAGGAAGGAAAAGCAUAAUAGUGAAAUAUGCGAAUGAGAGGAAGAAUCUUCUCAAGGUACUGUGCGUAUAUUCGAGGUUAUUCUUUGACAUAUGCUGCUAAAAGUGUAGUUGGAAUUUUUCAACUUUGGUCAAAAACAAAAACCGCAUUGAAUAUCCUCCUUUUCAGUUUUCUAUUUUGUAUAUAUUUGUUUAGGACCACAGUAUUAUUCUACAUUUAUAACUUGUUUAGAAUCACAAAUUUUAAAAGUUUUUAUUUUUUUUUAAACUUUGUGUCCAGUCAAACAUGUUCAUGUAAAUUGGAAUGAAGCGAGUUUUAUUUUUUUACAGCCCAAGUCUAAGUAUGGUUUAAAAAAAAUACUUCAUAGUUUCAAAUUUCUGUAAAAAGGAGUAUAAACCAAAAUAAGUGGUCAAAAAUCACCCUAAAUUAUGCAAAAUCGUCUAAAUAUACUUUCCCUUAAUAGUUUAGGUCAAUAAUAUCCUCAUUGUUACAAAAAUGAUCUAUAUAUGCCCCUUUUUACCAUCGGUAAUUAUACCAGAACUAAAAUAGUGAGAAAGAGCUUCAUGUUGACGCCUUGACCAAUGACAUUAUAAUAAACUUUUUUUCUACUUAGUACUACGAAUAGAAAUGUAGGUUGAGUAGUUAGUAAGCGUAUUUGAGUAAAUGACUAAUUAGUUAGUUUUAGUAGUUAAUAUACGGUAUUUGUACACUACAUUUCUUCAGACUUUGUUCAAGUUCAAUAGAACAAUUACUUUCAAUCCUAACCUUCUCUCUCUUUCUUCGACUGCGUUCAUAGCAAGCAUAUCAAUGGCUUCCUUUCACAUAGUAUCAGAGUGGGCGAAGAAGAUCUGAGCUUGCAUGUUCGUCAGGGAGUAAAGAAGGUUGAGGUUCAGUCAAAAGAAACCAAACAGAGUCUCAAAGCUUUUUUGAUCCAAAAUGGUGGAGAACAAGAUCGAUCAUACCCAUCCUCUGUUCGUGCACCUAUCUGAUACUCCAGGAUCAGUGUUGGUUCCAAUCCAGCUCAAAGGAUCUGAGAAUUACGGCCUAUGGCGGAGAUCGAUGAAGAUUGCACUUUAAGCUAAACGAAAACUAGGGUUUGUUAAUGGCAAGUGUAGCAAAGCUGGAUUUCCUGAAGCUUUGCAUGAGGACUGGGAGACUUGUAAUGCCAUAGUUCUUUUGUGGAUCAUGAAUACUGUGUCGCCGGACCUGCUCAGUGGGAUUGUAUAUCCAUCAAAUGCUCGAAUACCAAAGCUGAAUUUCCUGAAGCUUUGCAUGAGGCCCGGGAGACUUGUAAUGCCAUAGUUCUUUUGUGGAUCAUGAAUACUGUGUCGCCGGACCUGCUCAGUGGGAUUGUAUAUCCAUCAAAUGCUCGAGUUGUGUGGGAGGAUCUUCGUGAGAGAUUCGACAAGGUGAAUCGCAUGAGGAUCUAUCAGCUUCAUAGAGAAAUUGCAACUAUAUCCCAAUGUACUGAUUCUGUAUCCACACAUUUUACAAAAUUAAAGGAGUUAUGGGGGGAAUUUGAUGCAAUCGUGCCACCUCCAAAUUCUGUGAAGGAUUGUGUUGAUCUCUUAAAUCAACAAAGGUUACUUCAAUUUUUGGGAGGUUUGAAUGACUCAUAUAGUCAGGCAAGACGUCAAAUUCUCAUGAAAUUUACAGAACCUAGUCUAAAUCAGGCAUAUGCCAUGGUUAUUGAGGAUGAGACCCAAAAGGGAACCACAGGGCAAGGCUUUAUAGGUCACAGCUCACUAAUGGAUGGUAAUGAUAUUACUGCACUCUGGAGUGAUAGAAGUUCUCAGAUGCAGAAACCUAAAAGGAACUUCAAUGUAAUUUAUGAUUUUUGUAAGAUGAAAGGACAUAGCAAGGAAAAUUGCUAUCAGUUGUUGGAUAUCCGCCAUAUUUUAAGGGGAGAAGAAAUCCUAUGGCUAAUUCUGCACACCUUGGUAAUCCUAUACAAUUAGGAAAUCAUAGUCAACAACAGGAAAUGGGAAAUAUGUUAUAAUGUAGGUUCCAUAGGGCCAUCAGGAUACUUUGCAAGUACAGAAAGAGAUACAAGAAUGAAUAUGCAGAUGCCAAUGUCAUUUACUGCUGAAUAAUAUGAUCAAAUUUGGAAAAGCUACAAAAGGACAGCUCACAAGAAUCAACAGUGAAUGCAGCUAAUGCAGUAGGUAUAAUUGAUUCUCUAAUACUUGCAAAUGUUGUCAGUGUAGAUCAUUCAAAUGAUAAUAAAGCCAAGGAUGAUAAAUGGAUUGUAGAUACAGGUGCAACAGAUCACAUGGUGUCUAGUAGUGAUAUGAUCUCCAGGCCUAAAGAAAAUUCUAGAAGUGUAGGAGGAAAAGUUCAUUUACCAAAUGGUGAUAGCUUGGCUAUAUCGUGUGUAUGAAGCUCAGAACUAGAUCAAGGGAUAAUAUCUAAUGUACUUUGCAUACCAGGGUUUAAAUAUAAUCUACUAUCAGUGUCAAAAUAGACAAGGGAACUAAAUUGUUGCAUGCAAUUCUAUCCUGAUUUUUGCCUCAUGCACGACCUUCAUACUGGGAAAGUGAAGGGGACUGAUAGAAGGAAUGGAGAUCUUUACUACUGACCUUGCAGUGAUAGAGACAGAGCUCAAGCAGCAGCAGUGCUAUAUGUGAACAAUGAAGAAGAACUAUGGCAUAAAAGAUUAUGACAUGUCCCACAUAAGAUCCUACAACAGAUGCAUAUCAUAAAAUGUAAUAGAUUACACAGUCAUAAUAAUGUUUGUGCCAUUUGCCCUCUGGCAAAACAAACAAGAGUUCCUUUUCCACAAAGUACUAGUAGAGCUUCUAAGGUCUUUGAUUUGGUGCAUGGUGAUUUUUGGGGUCCUUAUAGAACUCCAACAUAUGAUGGGAAUAGAUUCUUUCUUAAUUUGGUAGAUGAUCAUAGUAGAAUGGUAUGAAUUUUCUUGCUCAAACAUAAAAGUGAUGUAUCUACAAUCAUAAAGGACUUCAUGACUCUUGUGAAGACACAGUUUAAUAGUACUAUCAAAGUAUUUAGAACAGACAAUGGAACUGAGUUCUUUAAUUCCCAUUAUGUUGAACUAUUUAGACAUGCAUGUAUAGUGUCAUGACUCUUGUGAAGACACAGUUUAAUGGUACUAUCAAAGUGUUUAGAACAGACAAUGGAGUUGAGUUCUUUAAUUCCCAUUGUGCUGAACUAUUUAGACAUGCAUGUAUAGUCCAUCAAAGCUCCUGUGUUUACACACCCCAACAAAAUAGAGUGAUUGAACGAAAACACAGUCAGAUUCUUGAAGUUGCAAGGGCCAUCAGGUUUCAGGGAAAUAUUCCUCUGAAGUUCUGGGGGUUUUGUGUACAAAAUGCAGUGUACUUGAUCAACAGAAUACCAUCCACAACAUUGGCAGGUAAAUCACCUUUUGAGAUAUUCUAUGGUAGGCCACCCAAACUACAGCACUUAAGAGUUUUGGGGAGUCUUUGUUAUGCUUAUGCCACAGCUACAGAUAGAGGUCAUAAAUUUGGAGCUAGAGCAGAACCUGCAGUCCAUAUGGGAUAUUCUUCCACUCAAAAGGGUUAUAGAUUAUAUAGUCUUACUAUACAAGCAUUUCUUUGUUAGCAGGGAUGUCUCUUUCAAGGAACACAUAUUUCCUUUUCAGACUACAUUCUCAGCACAAAAGAGAAGCACUGGUGAGUAACUUCUUGAUGUAGAUUAUGCCUUUGUUUUUUAUGUUGUUGAUUUAGAGGCUCUAUCAACUCCUUCUAAGGCAUCACCAAUUCCUUAACAUAUGCUGCCAACUUCAGCAGACCCGGUUCAGCCUCCCAUUCCCACACCAACUUCUGCACCAGUAAUACCACCUCCAAAUAUGGAUUCAUUGAAUGAUGCACCAGCUGAGGGACUCAGAAAGUCUGCUAGGAAUUCUAAGCCACCUCGUUGGCUUAAUGAUUUUGUUCAAUGCCUUCAAUGCCUUUCUUCAAGUUGAUUUGAUAGAAGAAGUCUACAUGAUACCUCAUCCUGGUCUUUUAAUUGAGGGAGGGCCUCCUAGAGUGUACAAACUUCAGAAGUCCUUAUAUGGGCUUAAACAUGCUUCUAGGCAGUGGAACCUGAAGCUUAGUGAAGCCCUCUCUUCUUCAGGAUUUCUCCAAAUCCAUCAUGAUUAUUCUCCUUUCAUUAAAAAGUCCAGUUCUGGCUUAUUUCUAAUUCUCACCUAUGCAGAUGAUCUCUUGAUCAUUGGUUCUUCUUCUCAGUUGAUUCAGGAGGCCAAAUUUGUCUUAAAAAGUCACUUCAAGAUCAAGGAUAUGGGGGAAAUGAGAUAUUUCCUUGGUCUUGAAGUUGUUAGGAGCACACAAGGCAUUUUGGCCUGUAAAAGGAAGUUCACUCUUGAUCUUAUUGGUACACUUGGUUUGGCGGGUUCUAAACCAACCUGCACACCUCUAGAUACUAGCCAUAAAUUUACUAGAGCUGACUAUGAUCACACUAAUGCUCAAGCAAAUGCCAAUGUGGUUGUAGAUGAGUUACUUACUGAUCCAAGCAGAUAUCACAGUUGGUUGGAAAGCUGCUAUACCUCACCAUGACAAGGCAGGAUAUCAGUUAUGCAGUCCAAACUCUAAGCCAGUUCAUGCACAUGCCAAAGAAGCCUCAUUGGGAAGGGGCCUUAAGAGCGGUAAGAUAUCUCAAGAAUGCACCAGGGUUGGGAAUCCUACUUUCUUCUCAAGUAUCUAAUCAGCUCACAGUGAUGUAGACUGGGCUACUUGUUCAAUGACUAGAUGAUCAGUGAGUGGAUUUGUGGUUAAACUGGGAAAUUCUCAUAUCUCAUGGAAAAUCAAGAAACAGAAUAUUGUACCAAGGAGUUCUGCAGAAGCUGAGUAUAGAAGUAUGGCUAAUGCCAUAGCAAAAAUAGUGUGGUUGACAGGACUGUUCAAGGAGCUGAGUGUUGAGCUGCAGCUUCCUAUAAAGCUCUACUGUGACAGUAAAACAAACAUACAAAUUGCACCAAAUCCCAUCUACCAUGAAAGAAUAAAGCAUAUCGAGAUAGACUGCCAUUUCAUUUGAGAAAAGAUUCAACACGGCCUAAUACAAACUGCACAUGUUUCUACAGACUUGCAAAUUGCAGAUGUGUUGACAAAAGGAUUAGGGAAGGCACAACACGAGUUCUUGUUAUCCAAGCUUGGAGUGUUCAAUCUAUUCACACUGCACAACUUGAGGGGGAGUAUUACGAAUAGAAAUGUAGGUUGAGUAGUUAGUAAGGGUAUUUAAGUAAAUGGUAAUUAGUUAGUUUUAGUAGUUAAUAUACAAUAUUUGUACAAUACACUUCUUCGGACUUUGUUCAAGUUCAAUAGAACAGUUACUCUCUCUCCCAACGUUCUCUCUUCCUUCGAUUGCGUUCAUAGCAAGCAUAUAAUGGCUGCCUUUGACACUUGGCUUGAUAAAAAUGUUCAAAACAAUUUGUAAUACACUAAUACGCAAUCUAUACGUGUCUUAUUAUUAUUAUUAUUAUUUAAAAGUGGGAGUUGGGGUGUACGAACAGAUACAAACAGGGGUAAGAUCGGGAUUUCAAAUAAAAUGCUGCUUAUGCUUUGCCAAAUUUUAGCCUCCCCUCUAUGACUUAAUGCUCUGGCAAUUUGGGGUUUAAUGGUAUUUUCGGUCAUUCCUUGUUUUUUAUCGAAUUUCCAGAAGCUACUCAGCACUCCUAUUCUCUUCAUUUGCUAUUCCUUGAGGAAAAAUCUAGCUUUCAGCUUCUACUCUUUUGCCUGGCUCCUUCUCUUUCUAUUGAGCCUUCACUAUUUUACUUUCUUGAGAAAUAACACCACAAGUUCCUAUAUUCUGUUUGAGUUUGGUUGCUCCAUCGUUACUUGGCAUCUGCAGGUGAAAAUUUCUUUUCAAACUUCCAAAGUUUCCUCUUUCUUGGUGACAUCUGUAGUUGAAAAUCUCUUUACAAACUUCUAAAUUUCUCGAUUUCGGUUUCAUAUUAUCUCAGUAUGUGCUUUAUAGUUCUGAAAGUUUCUAUUGUCUAGAUCUUUUUGUACAUUGGGAUCUAUACUUGAUGAAUUCUUUUCAAUAUGCCUAAAUUUAAUCAAUCGUAGUUCUAUGUUGUCUCUGGUAUGUGCAAUAUAGUUGUGGUGAGUUUUCCUAUAAUUCUUGCUUCUUCUUUUCUUAUAUGCACAUUGUCGCUAAUGCUAUUUUUAGUGGGUAUCAGGUAGUUCCCCUGUUCGUUGGAUAUUUUCUUGCUGGAGUUUCACAUGCAUGGCUGUAAGUAUAUUAAAUUUGCACACUAAUGCACUGACGAUGCUUGAUAAUAUGCCUAAAUCAACAGCUUCUUUUAUUUUUUUCAUUUGCCCCCUUCCUCUGUCCUCGUAAUUAAUUUUUUAUGGAAAUUUGAUCAAUCUUCUUACCAGCGCUACAACUUCCAGUCCUUUAAGAUAAAAUUUCUGUAAAAUUAUGUCCAAAACGGCUGGUAGUUAUAGGCUUAUAGCUUUAACUUUAUUAAAAAUUUCUGUAAAUUUAUCUCCAAAACGGCUGGUAGUUAUAGGCUUAUAGCUUUAACUUUAUUAAUGCAUAACAUAUGUAGGAAGAAUUUUUUUGAACCUUGCAUACUCGAUGUACCUUCAUCAGAAAGAGAAUGUGAAAUUGCUAGGAGAAAAUUAGAUAUUUUUAACGAAUGGAGAGACUCAGUUGGAGAAUGUGUUAUCUUAUUUGAAAUUGCUUGGAGAAAAUGUGAAAUGUACAUUUUGUUAUCUAAUGUAGCUGGGUAGCUGCCAGUUACAAAGUUUAAAGCUAUACAAGACUAGACUAGGAUUUAAAAAAGACGUUGUUUAGUAACUUUAUAGUUUUUUCAGCGUCUAGCUAAGAUGAAUCCUUGAAUAUUGAGGACCUUAAUGGGCCAUAUCGAAAUAUCUUGGAGAAGGUUGUAGAACAGUAGAAGGAGGAGAAGUGUUUUGCUUAGAACAAUCCUAACUAUUCAUUAUUGUCCGCUAUAUGUGUCUCUUUGUAGAAUGGAGGUAAGGAUAAUAUGGGUUUGGUAAAGCUCAAGAAGUGCUUAUCAUGACUAGGAGGAAUAACCCGUAUAAACAUGGUACUAGCUUGCAGAGUAUUGCUGCAGCAAUAAUGUGUGGUGAAAAUGAAACAACUGAAAACAACUUCAAGAAGGUGGUAACCAUGCUAAAGGAAGAGGAGUAUUUUGCUGAAAAGGUGCAGUGAAUUGAAGUAAUUGUCAAAGUCAAUUUAUCUUGCUCUCUCUCUUUAUACACACACACACUUUUUUGUAGCUUUGAUGCCUACAUCUUUGAAUUAUCACCAGUUAGCAAAAUCUUUUAUCUCUUUUUCCAUGUUAUAGGAGAGUCAGAGACAUAAUUCUUCUUUACCUUAAUUGGCAUGUUUCUAUGGUCCGUAGAAGAUGUGGUGACAUUUCUUGAGAAGGCUAUAGAAAAGGUUUCGUUACUAUGACUAGAACAAUCUCAUCAUUAUAAUUGGAUGGACUGUUCUUGGAUUACCACAAGUUAUAUUUCUUGCUUUACCUUCGGUUUUAGUCCUGCUCUAUCAUUCCCAAUUAUUAAAUUUUAGACAUAGAAUUGAAAUUAUAUUCAUGAAAAAAUAACACUAUUAGAGAUGAUUAGCAGGUGAAACUAUCUUCCAGAGCAUGUAUGUGUUAUAUUUUCUUUAGUUUCUUUCCUCUCUGGCGUGUUUAGUAUGGUGGUCCGGCUUUAAUUCAAGUUCAAUGGUUGAUGUGUAAUUGGUUGUUGGGCCCAACUUAUUUUUUAAAACUACUGAAAAUUAUCUCCAAUACGACUGAGAGUAGAGAUUAUGUUUGGACUUUGGUGGUUAUAGGCUUAUAGCUUUUAACUUUGUUAAUGCUUAGACAUAUGUAAUAGGAAUUUCUUCUAUGGUAUUGGUUGUUUCUACUGUAUAUACUUUUAUACAUUCUUUCUUAUGUACAUUUGUGCACAUCAAGUUCAUAAAAAUGACUUUUAGUACUAUCACGCUAGGAACAUCCAAGAUGUUUGAACAUAUGCGUGAAGCAAUUAACAAAAUUUAUUGUAAUUCUUUUCCAUCAUGUUUACCGCAACAUCAUUCAAUAACAUAUCUCUAUUAUUUAUAGUUAUGUGAACGAAAUAUAUCUCAUAUGUAUGUCGUUUGCUCUCAUUUGUCUUUCUGUUGUCUUACUAUUUUUCUAACUUUGUUUAAACAAAAUAAUAAAGUUAAAAGUAUGAUUCAGAUUAUAUUAUCCUUGAAAUUUAAUUUAACAAAAUUAUAGAUUGUUUGAAACAGGAAUGCACUCUGGAAGCAAAUUUACUCUGGAGUUAUGCCGGAUACCUCAAAGGAAGAAAAUAAUUAUUUUGUUGUCACAACUAGAGAUAAAAGAAUUGAUUAGAAAAAAUGGAGACUCCUCCAUCAUUCAAGUAAUAUAGUCUCAUCUCCAGAAGUUGACAACCGACCUCGAAAGGGCUCUUACAUGCAUUAUCCCUUGAAGAAGGUCAACAAGACAACAUUGUUAUCUUCCUUUCUGAAAUAUUUCUGGUAUAACUUAUAUUGGUUACAUGCAUGAUAUCUUAUGGGUACGUAUAGGUAUAUUUAGAUAGUUGAAUCAAUCUACUCUCAUUAAAGUUACUUUUCAUGUAAUAGAUCGUGCUUCUGGAGCUAAAUAAGUACAUUUUUUCCAAAGGGCUACCAAAGACGUUCACGGGAAUUUAGUAUAGUUUCUAGCAUCUUUCUUCCUCCUUCCAACUUUAUGUAAAUCUCUCUGCUUACCAGAAAG
rnacentral:lncRNA from 1 species